UACGUAGGGUGCAAGCGUUGUCCGGAAUUAUUGGGCGUAAAGAGCUCGUAGGCGGUCUGUCGCGUCUGCUGUGAAACUCAGGGCUUAACCCUGAGCUUGCAGUGGGUACGGGGCAGACUAGAGUGCGGUAGGGGAGACUGGAAUUCCUGGUGUAGCGGUGAAAUGCGCAGAUAUCGAGGAGGGAACACCGGUGGCCGAAGGCGGGUCUCUGGGCCGUAACUGGACGCUGGAGGAGCGAAAGCCAUGGGGACGCGAACAGGAUUGAGAAAC
rnacentral:rRNA from 1 species